CGUUUCUCCGCCGGCGACCGGCGCACGGGUGAGUAACACGUAUGCAACCUGCCCUGUCAGGGGGACAACCCGCCGAAAGGCGGGCUAAACCCGCGUACAUGCCACCGGGGCAUCCCGGAGGCAGGAAAGGCUUCGGCCGGACAGGGAUGGGCAUGCGGCGCAUUAGGCAGUAGGCGGGGUAACGGCCCACCUAACCGACGAUGCGUAGGGGUUCUGAGAGGAAGGUCCCCCACACUGGUACUGAGACACGGACCAGACUCCUACGGAAGGCAGCAG
rnacentral:rRNA from 1 species